rnacentral:lncRNA from 1 species
CAUGAAGAGACAUAACACAAUCUAUACCAUUUAGCACGAUCAAAUGCAUAAUAUAACUACGGAUGCGACCAAACAAGUUAUUCAUCAAGUUUUCCCAGAAUAAUUCCAAAUAAACAACAUCUAACUAUAAGAUACUUGAUAGAAGAUUGAUUUCCCAUCAAGUAAAACCAAAUACAGCUCUUAGAAGGGUAUUGUCUUUAUCCAGCAGAACAUAAUGCACCAGACAAACUCAGUAAAUAAAAAGGAUAAAACUAAGCUAAUGAACAAAACAAGUUGAAAUUGUGCUUGAAACUCCCAAUUUUCAUUUCAUACUUCAAACCAAACUUCACAUUAGAUAGGAUUCAGGAGCAGGUACCUGAUUAUAGCAAAACAAAACCAGAAAAAUCAAGAUUGAAGUCAGAAAGAAACAGCAGCAGCAGCAAACCAAACGAAUAGGAAAUAACAGCAGAAAUCAGCUCAAUGAUCAGUAAUAGAACAUUGAUCUAACAGCCCUCAACUCAUCUUUCAAUCUCAGAAUAAGCUAGAAAUACUUUGAAGGUUUGCAAUGGAGAGACUAGAUGCAGAAUUAGACCAAUUUUCUACCCAAAAAUACAGGAGUUUUUUUUCAAGUUCUUUUCUAAGCGCAGCCAUUUGCAAUUUUCAGAGUUUUUAUCUCUAAUUUUUUUCUGACUUGAAUCUCAAGUAAUGAUUCCUUUAUAGGCAAGCUUCUAGGGAAACCUAAAGGAAUCAGUUUUUGCAAUUAAAACCUUUUGGAAUUCUCAUAUUUGCUUAGACCCCUUAUUGCAAAAAUCACACUUUCAAAAUAACCCCAAUCCCAGCUUCCUAGAAGCUUCUCUAGUUUGUUACUGAGAUUCCCUUACCUUAGAUUUCCUAAUUUACCCCUUUAAGCCUCGUUAAUUACCCUUAGGAAAUUCAUGGGUCAAUUUGACCCAAAGACUCAAACCAGCCUGAUUUUAACAAGACCUAGGCUAAUACCUUUUCUUUGGGCCCAGGUCUAAAUCAGAAAUUCAGAAGAAACAAGAAGGCAGAAAAAGGGCAAUUCGGAUUUCAAUCAAACCUCAUGAACCAAAUGCUCUCAAACAGCCCAAAACUAAAGAGAACAAUCAAACAAACUAACCUAACGAAUUCAAACAAAACUGAAGAAGCUAAUAACUAACAUUAAUUCUAACUUAAAAGAAACAAAUGCAGAGAUAAAUUUUGAGAACACAGAAAAAAAGAAGAAGAAUAGAAGAAAAUAAGAAAAACGGGCCAGGUGAAAAUACUAGAAAAUACUAGAAAAUACCUAUCAGGCCAGGUGGAAAUGAGUCUUAAACUAAUCUUCAAAGAAAUUUUGAUUUUUUGUUGAGAUAGACCUUAGUCGAUGCGUUCUCGACUGAAAACACACGACUAAAGUCGAAUCCAACCUCAAAUCUUUUUAAAACCUCGCCAAUUUGAUUUUUGGGAUUUUAGGGUUCAGGCUUUGUUCUAAUAUUCGAUGCGUUCUGUGAGGAUUAGAGGGAAAAGAAGUGAAGAUUUGGAAUGGGGAAAUGAAGAGGAGUUUGGGGUGUUGAUUUGAGGUCAUUUGGCGGUGGCGCCGCCAGGCAUAUACGGUGGGAGAAAGGGUGGCGAAUUAGGGUUCUUGAGGGGUAUGGUCUCUGAGGAUGGGGGGUUGAGAGAGAUGAGUAAAGGGAGU